rnacentral:rRNA from 1 species
CCUACGGGAGGCUGCAGUGGGGAAUAUUGGACAAUGGGGGCAACCCUGAUCCAGCCAUGCCGCGUGUGUGAAGAAGGCCCUCGGGUUGUAAAGCACUUUCAGUGAGGAAGAACGCCUGGUGGUGAAUACCCAUCAGGAAAGACAUCACUCACAGAAGAAGCACCGGCUAACUCCGUGCCAGCAGCCGCGGUAAUACGGAGGGUGCGAGCGUUAAUCGGAAUUACUGGGCGUAAAGCGCGCGUAGGUGGCUUGAUAAGCCGGUUGUGAAAGCCCCGGGCUCAACCUGGGAACGGCAUCCGGAACUGUCAAGCUAGAGUGCAGGAGAGGAAGGUAGAAUUCCCGGUGUAGCGGUGAAAUGCGUAGAGAUCGGGAGGAAUACCAGUGGCGAAGGCGGCCUUCUGGACUGACACUGACACUGAGGUGCGAAAGCGUGGGUAGCAAACAGGAUUAGAUACCCUAGUAGUC